rnacentral:ncRNA from 2 species
AAUUUAAGGGUUCUCCGAGUCCACCAGCCUGUGGCGAUUUUCCGCUAUGGUGGUCGGACCGAUAGGGUGUGCUGGGAAACCGGCACGCCUCCCAGUGCGGAAAGGAGAAUUCGGCUCUCGACC